rnacentral:rRNA from 1 species
AGUGAACGCUGGCGGUAGGCCUAACACAUGCAAGUCGAACGGCAGCACAGUAAGAGCUUGCUCUUACGGGUGGCGAGUGGCGGACGGGUGAGGAAUACAUCGGAAUCUACUUUUUCGUGGGGGAUAACGUAGGGAAACUUACGCUAAUACCGCAUACGACCUACGGGUGAAAGCAGGGGACCUUCGGGCCUUGCGCGAUUGAAUGAGCCGAUGUCGGAUUAGCUAGUUGGCGGGGUAAAGGCCCACCAAGGCGACGAUCCGUAGCUGGUCUGAGAGGAUGAUCGGCCACACUGGAACUGAGACACGGUCCAGACUCCUACGGGAGGCAGCAGUGGGGAAUAUUGGACAAUGGGCGCAAGCCUGAUCCAGCCAUACCGCGUGGGUGAAGAAGGCCUUCGGGUUGUAAAGCCCUUUUGUUGGGAAAGAAAUCCAGCCGGCUAAUACCUGGCUGGGAUGACGGUACCCAAAGAAUAAGCACCGGCUAACUUCGUGCCAGCCGCCGCCGUAAGAC